rnacentral:rRNA from 1 species
GAGUUUGAUCCUGGCUCAGGAUGAACGCUAGCGGCAGGCCUAACACAUGCAAGUCGAGGGGUAACAGGGAAGCUUGCUUCCGCUGACGACCGGCGAACGGGUGAGUAACACGUAUGCAACCUGCCUCUAACUGGGGAAUAGCUCAUAGAAAUGUGAAUUAAUACCCCAUAAUAUAUAUAUUAGGCAUCUUUUAUAUAUUAAAGCUCCGGCGGUUAGAGAUGGGCAUGCGGGACAUUAGCUUGUUGGUGAGGUAACUGCUCACCAAGGCAACGAUGUUUAGGGGGUCUGAGAGGACUAUCCCCCACACUGGUACUGAGACACGGACCAGACUCCUACGGGAGGCAGCAGUGAGGAAUAUUGCGCAAUGGAGGAAACUCUGACGCAGCCAUGCCGCGUGCAGGAAUAAGGCCCUAUGGGUUGUAAACUGCUUUUAUACGGGAAGAAAUACAUCUACGUGUAGAUGUUUGACGGUACCGUACGAAUAAGGAUCGGCUAACUCCGUGCCAGCAGCCACGGUAAUACGGAGGAUCCAAGCGUUAUCCGGAUUUAUUGGGUUUAAAGGGUCCGCAGGCGGAAAAUUAAGUCAGUGGUGAAAUCCUACAGCUUAACUGUAGAACUGCCAUUGAUACUGAUUUUCUUGAGUGCACCUGAAGUGGGCGGAAUGUGUCAUGUAGCGGUGAAAUGCUUAGAUAUGACACAGAACACCAAUUGCGAAGGCAGCUCACUAAAGUGUAACUGACGCUGAGGGACGAAAGCGUGGGUAGCGAACAGGAUUAGAUACCCUGGUAGUCCACGCCGUAAACGAUGAUCACUAGAUGUUGGCGAUAUAUUGUCAGUAUCUGAGCGAAAGCAUUAAGUGAUCCACCUGGGGAGUACGGUCGCAAGAUUGAAACUCAAAGGAAUUGACGGGGGCCCGCACAAGCGGUGGAGCAUCUGGCUUAAUUCGAUAAUGAGCGAGGAACCUCACCUAGGCUUGACAUCCCGAGAAUUUUCUAGAAAUAGAAAAGUGCCUUCUGGAACUCGGUGACAGGUGCUGCAUGGUUGUCGUCAGCUCGUGCCUUGAGGUGUUCGGUUAAGUCCGUGAACGAGCGCAACCCAUGUCCUGUGUUGUCUUUUCACAGGAGACUGCCGAUUCAAAGUCGGAGGAAGGUAUGGACGACGUCAAAUCAGCAUGGCCCUUAUGCCUAGGGCUGCACAGGUGCUACAAUGGCUAAUACAAUAGGUAGCAAUAUCGCAAGAUGGAGCCAAUCCCAAAAGUUAGUCUAAGUUCGGAUUGAGGGCUGCAAUUCGCCCUCAUGAAGUUGGAAUCGCUAGUAACCGUGAAUCAGCAAUAUCACGGUGAAUAUGUUCCUGGGUCUUGUACUCACCGCCCGUC